GUAGAACAACCCAGUGUUACUUCUGCGUUGAACGUCUACGCGCCUAGCUCAUGGAUUAUGAAUCUUCUCGGUGUCCCGCAGCUUCUCGCAUUAAACCCGGAGUCAACGUAGCAGCUGCAUCUCACCUGGACUCUCACUAGCCCACAGGUGCUCCGCUGUUAAUCGAUCUACUGAUGCUGUUUUGUAUCAGAUGUAAGAGAUAAAGGCAGCACCGCUCUGAUAAAUACUCUCCAAUAAGGAGUUACGCAAUGCAGGUGUCGAUCUCGCCUGCGAUGUCGGCAUCUGUCUUCAGCUUGUUUUCCCUGCUCACCUUAACCCUGCUGCUCCUGCUGUGCGUCAUACG